UUAUACAUGCAAGUCGUACGAGAGCUUUUAGCUCUAGUGGCGGACGGGUGAGUAACACGUGAGAAUCUGCCCUUAGGAGGAGGAUAACAGCUGGACACGGUUGCUAAUACUCCAUAUGCCGAGAGGUGAAAGGAUUUAUCCACCUAAGGAGGAGCUCGCGUCUGAUUAGCUGGUUGGUAGGGUAAUAGCUUACCAAGGCGACGAUCAGUAGCUGGUUUGAGAGGAUGAUCAGCCACACUGGGACUGAGACACGGCCCAGACUCCUACGGGAGGCAGCAGUAGGGAAUUUUCCGCAAUGGGCGAAAGCCUGACGGAGCAAUACCGCGUGAGGGAUGACGGCCUGUGGGUUGUAAACCUCUUUUCUCAAGGAAGAAGCUCUGACGGUACUUGAGGAAUAAGCAUCGGCUAACUCUGUGCCAGCAGCCGCGGUAAUACAGAGGAUGCAAGCGUUAUCCGGAAUCACUGGGCAUAAAGCGUCUGUAGGUGGUUUGGUAAGUCUGCUGUUAAAGACUGGGGCUCAACCCCAGAAAAGCAGUGGAAACUGCCAGACUUGAGUGUGGUAGAGGUAGAGGGAAUUCCUAGUGUAGCGGUGAAAUGCGUAGAUAUUAGGAAGAACACCAAUGGCGAAGGCCACUCUACUGGGCCAUAACUGACACUG
rnacentral:rRNA from 1 species